rnacentral:rRNA from 1 species
AUUGAACGCUGGCGGCAGGCCUAACACAUGCAAGUCGAGCGAGCGGCGGACGGGUGAGUAAUGUCUGGGAACCUGCCUGAUGGAUGGGGAUAAAUACUGGAAACGGUUGCUAAUACCGCACACCAUUAGAUGUGCGCAGAUGGGAAUAGCUAGUAGGUGGGGUAACGGCCCACCUAGGCGACGAUCCCUUGCUGGUCUGAGAGGAUGACCAGCCACACUGGGACUGAGACACGGUCCAGACUCCUACGGGAGGCAGCAGUGGGGAAUAUUGCGCAAUGGGCGCAAGCCUGAGGCAGCCAUGCCGCGUGUGUGAAGAAGGCCUUCGGGUUGUAAAGCACUUUCGGCGGGGAGGCGGUACCCGCAGAAGAAGCACCGGCUAACUCCGUGCCAGCAGCCGCGGUAAUAC